AACGAACGCUGGCGGCAGGCUUAACACAUGCAAGUCGAACGGACGUAGCAAUACGUCAGUGGCAGACGGGUGAAUAACACGUGGGAACCUUCCUCGUAGUACGGAACAACUCAGGGAAACUUGAGCUAAUACCGUAUACGUCCGAGAGGAGAAAGAUCUAUCGCUAUGAGACGGGCCCGCGUCCGAUUAGCUCGUUGGUGGGGUAACGGCCUACCAAGGCAACGAUCGGUAGCUGAUCUGAGAGGAUGAUCAGCCACACUGGGACUGAGACACGGCCCAGACUCCUACGGGAGGCAGCAGUGGGGAAUCUUGGACAAUGGGCGAAAGCCUGAUCCAGCCAUGCCGCGUGAGUGAAGAAGGCCUUAGGGUUGUAAAGCUCUUUUGGCAGGGACGAUAAUGACGGUACCUGCAGAAUAAGCCCCGGCAAACUUCGUGCCAGCAGCCGCCGUAA
rnacentral:rRNA from 1 species